UUCCGGAGCUAACGCGUUAAGUCGACCGCCUGGGGAGUACGGCCGCAAGUUUAAAACUCAAAUGAAUUGACGGGGGCCCGCACAAGCGUGGAGCAUGUGGUUUAAUUCGAUGCAACGGAAGAACCUUACCUACUCUUGACAUCCAGAGAACUUAGCAGAGAUGCUUUGGUGCCUUCGGGAACUCUGAGACAGGUGCUGCAUGGCUGUCGUCAGCUCGUGUUGUGAAAUGUUGGGUUAAGUCCCGCAACGAGCGCAACCCUUAUCCUUUGUUGCCAGCGGUCAGGCCGGGAACUCAAAGGAGACUGCCAGUGAUAAACUGGAGGAAGGUGGGGAUGACGUCAAGUCAUCAUGGCCCUUACGAGUAGGGCUACACACGUGCUACAAUGGCGCAUACAAAGAGAAGCGACCUCGCGAGAGCAAGCGGACCUCAUAAAGUGCGUCGUAGUCCGGAUUGGAGUCUGCAACUCGACUCCAUGAAGUCGGAAUCGCUAGUAAUCGUAGAUCAGAAUGCUACGGUGAAUACGUUCCCGGGCCUUGUACACACCGCCCGUCACACCAUGGGAGUGGGUUGCAAAAGAAGUAGGUAGCUUAACCUUCGGGAGGGCGCUUACCACUUUGUGAUUCAUGACUG
rnacentral:rRNA from 1 species